rnacentral:rRNA from 1 species
UACGAAGGGGGCUAGCGUUGCUCGGAAUCACUGGGCGUAAAGGGUGCGUAGGCGGGUUUUUAAGUCGGGGGUGAAAUCCUGGAGCUCAACUCCAGAACUGCCUUCGAUACUGGCGAUCUCGAGUUCGGGAGAGGUGAGUGGAACUGCGAGUGUAGAGGUGAAAUUCGUAGAUAUUCGCAAGAACACCAGUGGCGAAGGCGGCUCACUGGCCCGAUACUGACGCUGAGGUGCGAAAGCGUGGGGAGCAAACAGG